rnacentral:tRNA from 1 species
GGCUCCAUCGUCUAGUUUGGUCUAGGAUGUCGCUCUGUCGAAGCGAAGACAGGAGUUCAAAUCUCCUUGGAGUCG